rnacentral:rRNA from 1 species
GAGCGGCGAACGGGUGAGUAACACGUGAGUAACCUGCCCCUGACUCUGGGAUAAGCCCGGGAAACUGGGUCUAAUACCGGAUACGACACCUCCCGGCAUCGGGUGGGUGUGGAAAGUUUUUUCGGUUGGGGAUGGACUCGCGGCCUAUCAGCUUGUUGGUGGGGUAAUGGCCUACCAAGGCGACGACGGGUAGCCGGCCUGAGAGGGCGACCGGCCACACUGGGACUGAGACACGGCCCAGACUCCUACGGGAGGCAGCAGUGGGGAAUAUUGCGCAAUGGGCGAAAGCCUGACGCAGCGACGCCGCGUGGGGGAUGACGGCCUUCGGGUUGUAAACCUCUUUCAGCAGGGACGAAGUUGACGUGUACCUGCAGAAGAAGCGCCGGCUAACUACGUGCCAGCAGCCGCGGUAAUACGUAGGGCGCAAGCGUUGUCCGGAAUUAUUGGGCGUAAAGAGCUCGUAGGUGGCUUGUCACGUCGGGUGUGAAAGCUUGGGGCUUAACUCCAGGUCUGCAUUCGAUACGGGCUGGCUAGAGGUAGGUAGGGGAGAACGGAAUUCCU